GGGCUGGGGCUCAGUGGUAGAGCGCUUGCCUAACCUACAUGAGGCACUGGGUUCGAUCUCCAGCACCACA
rnacentral:tRNA from 1 species